UUAAAAACCUGUACUCCCUGAAUGCACCCCAUCUUGUCGGAUCUUAGAAGCUAAGCAGGGUCAGGCCUGGUUAGUACUUGGAUGGGAGACCACCUGGCAAUACCAGGUGUUAUACGCU
rnacentral:rRNA from 1 species